rnacentral:tRNA from 1 species
GCCUUCGUGGUGUAACGGUUAGCACACUCGGCGCGUAUUCGAGAGGUCCAGGUUCGAGUCCCGGCGAGAGUA